rnacentral:rRNA from 1 species
CGAACCCACUUGGGUUGAAAACCGAGGGGAUGAGCUGUGGAUAGGGGUGAAAGGCCAAUCAAACUUCGUGAUAGCUGGUUCUCUCCGAAAUGCAUUUAGGUGCAGCGUUGCGUGUUUCUUGCCGGAGGUAGAGCUACUGGAUGGCCGAUGGGCCCUAAAAGGUUACUGACGUCAGCCAAACUCCGAAUGCCGGUAAGUAAGAGCGCAGCAGUGAGACGGUGGGGGAUAAGCUUCAUCGUCGAGAGGGAAACAACCCAGACUACCGACUAAGGUCCCAAAGCGUGUGCUAAGUGGAAAAGGAUGUGGAGUUGCAUAGACAACCAGGAGGUUGGCUUAGAAGCAGCCACCCUUGAAAGAGUGCGUAAUAGCUCACUGGUCAAGUGAUUCCGCGCCGACAAUGUAACGGGGCUCAAGCACACCACCGAAGUCGUAGCAUUCAAACUAUAGGUAGGCCUUCGUGGUCCAGCCGUGUGAAUGGGUAGGAGAGCGUCGUGUGGCGAGCGAAGCGGCGGAGUGAUCCAGCCGUGGACGCCACACGAGUGAGAAUGCAGGCAUGAGUAGCGAAAGACGGGUGAGAAACCCGUCCUCCGGAAGACCAAGGGUUCCAGGGCCAGGCUAAUCCGCCCUGGGUAAGUCGGGACCUAAGACGAGGCCGACAGGCGUAGUCGAUGGACAACGGGUUGAUAUUCCCGUACCCGCGAAGAACCGCAAGAGCUAAACCAGUAAUGCUAAGAGUCCGAAUUCUCUUUCUGAUCCCUUCGGGGUGAGGAUUGAGAGCUAGCACUCGACCCUAUGCUGGCGCGGCUAGCGUAUUAACAGGUGUGACGCAGGAAGGUAGCUGAGCCGGGCGAUGGUUGUCCCGGUGUAAGGAUGUAGGGCGAGGAAUAGGCAAAUCCGUUCCUCACGAAGCCUGAGAUCCGACGCGUACCCCUCACGGGGGAAAUCAGUGAUCCUAUGCUGCCAAGAAAAGCAUCGACGCGAGGUUCUAGUGGCCCGUACCCCAAACCGACUCAGGUGGUCAGGUAGAGAAUACUAAGGAGAUCGAGAGAAUCGUGGUUAAGGAACUCGGCAAAAUGCCCCCGUAACUUCGGGAGAAGGGGGGCCGGAUUGGUGAAGGGAUUUACUCCUGGAGCUAUGAAGGCCGCAGAGACCAGUGGGAAGCGACUGUUUACUAAAAACACAGGUCCGUGCUAAGUCGCAAGACGAUGUAUACGGACUGACGCCUGCCCGGUGCUGGAAGGUUAAGAGGAGCGGUUAGCACUUGUGCAAAGCUGCGAAUUUAAGCCCCAGUAAACGGCGGUGGUAACUAUAACCAUCCUAAGGUAGCGAAAUUCCUUGUCGGGUAAGUUCCGACCUGCACGAAUGGCGUAACGACUUCCCAGCUGUCUCAACCGCGAACUCGGCGAAAUUGCACUACGAGUAAAGAUGCUCGUUACGCGCAGCAGGACGGAAAGACCCCGUGACCUUUACUACAGCUUUGUAUUGGUGUUCGGUGUGGCUUGUGUAGGAUAGGUGGGAGACUUUGAAGCGGACACGCCAGUGUUUGUGGAGUCAUUGUUGAAAUACCACUCUGGUCACUCUGGAUAUCUAACUUCGAACCGUAAUCCGGUUCAGGGACAGUGCAUGGUGGGUAGUUUAACUGGGGCGGUUGCCUCCCAAAAAGUAACGGAGGCGCCCAAAGGUUCCCUCAGCCUGGUUGGCAAUCAGGUGGCGAGUGUAAGUGCACAAGGGAGCUUGACUGUGAGACUGACAGGUCGAGCAGGGACGAAAGUCGGGACUAGUGAUCCGGCAGUGGCUUGUGGAAGCGCUGUCGCUCAACGGAUAAAAGGUACCUCGGGGAUAACAGGCUGAUCUUGCCCAAGAGUCCAUAUCGACGGCAUGGUUUGGCACCUCGAUGUCGGCUCGUCGCAUCCUGGGGCUGGAGUAGGUCCCAAGGGUUGGGCUGUUCGCCCAUUAAAGCGGUACGCGAGCUGGGUUUAGAACGUCGUGAGACAGUUCGGUCCCUAUCCGCUGCGCGCGUUGGAAAUUUGAGAGGAUCUGACCCUAGUACGAGAGGACCGGGUUGGACGAACCUCUGGUGUGUCAGUUGUCCUGCCAAGGGCACCGCUGAUUAGCUACGUUCGGGAUGGAUAACCGCUGAAAGCAUCUAAGCGGGAAGCCGGCCUCAAGAUGAGAUUUCCAUGCCCUUCGGGGCGAGAGGCUCCCAGUAGACGACUGGGUUGAUAGGCCGGAUGUGGAAGUGGGGACUAAAGACCCAUGAAGCUGACCGGUACUAAUAAGCCGAUAAUUUGACAC